GACGAACGCUGGCGGCGCGCCUAACACAUGCAAGUCGAACGGAGCUUAGAGAGCUUGCUUUUUAAGCUUAGUGGCGAACGGGUGAGUAACGCGUGAGCAACCUGCCCUAGAGUGGGGGACAACAGUUGGAAACGACUGCUAAUACCGCAUAAGCCCACGGUACCGCAUGGUACUGAGGGAAAAGGAUUUAUUCGCUUUAGGAUGGACUCGCGUCCAAUUAGCUAGUUGGUGAGGUAACGGCCCACCAAGGCGACGAUUGGUAGCCGGACUGAGAGGUUGAACGGCCACAUUGGGACUGAGACACGGCCCAGGCUCCUACGGGAGGCAGCAGUGGGGGAUAUUGCACAAUGGGGGAAACCCUGAUGCAGCGACGCCGCGUGGAGGAAGAAGGUUUUCGGAUUGUAAACUCCUGUCGUUAGGGACGAUAAUGACGGUACCUAACAAGAAAGCACCGGCUAACUACGUGCCAGCAGCCGCGGUAAAACGUAGGGUGCAAGCGUUGUCCGGAAUUACUGGGUGUAAAGGGAGCGCAGGCGGGAAGACAAGUUGGAAGUGAAAACCAUGGGCUCAACCCAUGAAUUGCUUUCAAAACUGUUUUUCUUGAGUAGUGCAGAGGUAGAUGGAAUUCCCNGGUGUAGCGGUGGAAUGCGUAGAUAUCGGGAGGAACACCAGUGGCGAAGGCGGUCUACUGGGCACCAACU
rnacentral:rRNA from 1 species